GCGAUUUCCACUGCUCUCCCUGACUCCCAAUUAAGGCUGGGGGUGGUGGUGGAGGUGGUAGAGCGCGGGAGAGAGGAGACAGAGACUGUGCGCCUCGUGAGUGUGAGGAAGGAGGGAAGCUAAAGAUGGGAGGAGGGAAGACUGCAAUGGAGAUGAGAAGAAGUUAAAACGAGUGGGGAUGGGUAGAACUGACAGGAAGGAGAAAUUCUGUAGCAUAUAAAGAGGAUAGCUGUCACUAAGGAUGGGAUGAGGGACAGGAACAAAGUGGAAGAAUCACAACACAACAUGCAGCUUUAAUUGCCUGCAGACCCCAUCUGCUCCCUCUCAUCUUCUUCUCCUCGGUUUUACUCACAUCUCAAUCAGGGCCGUGUCUCACAGGUACAGCGUUGUUUUGUGUCUUUGCGGCCAGGUGGAACAUCGUUAGAGUUUUUCUAACAGCGACAGUAAUGAACAUAACCCGACACAGCAUUAGAAUAAAAAAUAACUGGAUAAAUUCUCGCUUUAACCUCCUAUUAGGGGCACCGCAUGCUCCCGUGGUUUCCUGUUGGCCCAGGAUUCAAGGGCUGCACCCUAAAUCAGUGCUUAUAAAAACAGAACUGACAGACAGCCCAUGGCGUAUAAGCAGACAGAGCUAUACAGAUGAGCUACGACUCUGUCCAGGAUGACUGUUCCAACUCAUCCUGUCCAAGGACCCAGAUGUUAUCUCUUUACUAAAAGGAUCAGCUCAGGAUAUUGAGAAAUUGCUUCAGGAUAAGGGGGCAUCUGUGCCCGAAUACCCAAGGGCUGCUGUUUUGUCACUCUGACAGUGUUUUAUAAAAGGCUGAGGAAGCUCAGAAGGCUGCAGAAACAAGCCUCAUAUAUCUCCCGCUAUUACACCCAGGCUAGAAAGAGAGGGCUGAAAUGACAAUGAAAUAUAGCCCUGGCUCAAAGGGAGAAAAAGAACAGGGUCUAAAGAGGGACAGCUGAGUCUCCCCAGGAGCCUGAAAGGGGCUGUGCUCCAAAUCAGAGACAGAUGCACAGCAGUCAGACACCAACCCUGUGCUAUACUGCAAGCGCACAGAGGUGAAAAGGAGACGAUAUGUGGUUCAGAGAGGGAAGUCCUCAGAGAGAGCAGCCUCUCGGUGCCUUUGCUGAUAUUAGUCUGAAAGAACAAGGAAGGAAAUUAGAGCCCUGCAGGAGGAAGAGAGAGGGAGAGGUGUGCUGGGGAGCUAAAAGUCCAAACUCGGCAAGGACCCUUGCAUCAUUAAGUUGUCAAGUGGAUGGGAGGCCCCGAAAUAUGACUUGGAGUUAUUGCUGGGGCCGGGCCUGAUGAUAUAAGAAUUACAGUACAUGGAUCAUGGCCGGAUCGAUAGGUAGACAAAGUCAUUAUAGAGGGGCUAGAGUUCAAUGCCUCCCUGGGGCUGCAAGCUGGGACAUAUUUAUCACUAUGGCAAUGUGUAGCACACACAACACACAGGCAUCUCUGCAUGAGUUUCUUGACCUGGAAUCUGUCUACGUUUGUCAACAUAUUUGCUUCCUGUGAGGAGUGUCGACGCACGUGUGUUUACAGCCACAGGGUUGCAGAGGGAUAGGGAGCACGGGCAGGCCAGCAUCGAUCCUCGCUUUGCCAAGAGAAAUUAGGCAUGAAAUUAAAGCUCCCAUCAAAGGCCAGAGCUGGCAUUGUCACCUGAUCCAGCACUAUUUAUACUCCCAGGAGAUGAUGAUGAUGUCUCUAUCACACUGAUGAUAACAGGACAGAGAGUAGAGAGAGAGAGAGAGAGAGAGAGAGGUGGAGGCACAGAUAGAGAGUUUCUCCCCUCCAUCCACGGUGCCACUGACCCGCCAUCAUUUAUACUGCCAGCGCUCAAGUGCAAGGUUAGCACCAACCUGAGCCUCCAUAAAUCACUGCUCUGCUGGACGGAGAGAGGCCGGGGUCAACGCCUCUCACAGCCAACCUCUGCAGAUGACAGAGUAUUUAUAGAUCAGGAAGGAGAAAGGCAGGGAGGAAAGAAGAGGCAGGAUGUGUGUCUAAGUGGCAUGUGAGGAAGUGUGUGCACACAAAUUCAGACGUGAUAGUAAAUAUACAUCUGAUAUGAGUAAACUCUUGCUGUUCUCUUGAGAACAGAGGUGUUCUCCUGCAGCCGUGUAGUCAUUGCAUGCACAGCCGACACAGAGUUGUGACAAACGCAGGAGACUGUAGGGGGAGCCCAUUAACCACAAAUCAGACCCCAUGUGUCGACUUUUCAGCUUCCUUUAUAAAAACACAUACUUCAACUUUAAUUAAAUAAAAACAUAAAGCUUUUAUUCUAUCUACCAUAAAAGACCAAAAUGUGGGAGAAAAAGAGCCCAUAUACAAGUCACUGACACACAGAUGACUCUAUCUGUAAUACACAAUUUUAAAGUCACAUAUUUCCCAGUCAGACUCUGCUGAGCGGAGUCUCUGCCAAGUGCAGUGUUUUGACAACGGUACAGCAGGUCCAGCAUGGUGCUCUAAUGACCAGUGGCCAAAGGUUGUCCCGGCUAAACACUGGUUAUGGUCAGCCACAAGAUGACUGGGUGUCCCAGUGCCGAACUCAUUUCUGCUGCUGCAGGGUUUCAUGCAUGGCGUCCAUCUCUCCAGCAAAAAUAAACCUUGGCACAAUGCCAGAUUUUGAAGAAAGAAAAACGGUUUUCAGCAUCAACCAAUCCUGCCGCUGCCCUGAUGAUUUAAGUGUUUACUUUUAAUUCUGGAAACUACUGAAUCCCUGAAAACCCAUAAUACAAAAUUCAAAUGUUGUGUGUGUGUGUGUGUGUGUGUGUGUGUGUGUGUGUGUGUGUGUGUGUGUGUGUGUGUGUGUGUGUGUGUGUGUGUGUGUGUGUGUGUGUGAACAGUCGUAGUCUGAAGGUCAAAGCAAAACGCAUGCGAUUGGUUCAACUCCAAACGGGCUGGAAAAUUUGCAAAGACGUGCAUGAGUAACUUUGCCUUUGGCUAGCAUCUGCUGCUUUUCAGUCAUUAACAAUAUGAUGCUGUGUUUGUGCAUACAAGUGGACAGCAAACACACGACGUUUUCAAACCAUGAACCAACCCUGUAUAUGAUGUCUUUGAUGUUCGACUGUCACCUCCAUGGUGUGACAAAUAGUAAUUAAAGCAAUUAAAGUUGUCUCCUGAUACAAAAUUAAUAAUUUCCGUCUAAAUUUCUGUUUGAUAAACUUCGGUCCCAGUAACCGUACCCGGUUAGGUUCUAGUAAAUGUUUGUACCUGAAUUAUUGA